rnacentral:rRNA from 1 species
GACGAACGCUGGCGGCGUGCCUAAUACAUGCAAGUUGAGCGAUGAAGAUUGGUGCUUGCACCAAUUUGAAGAGCAGCGAACGGGUGAGUAACGCGUGGGGAAUCUGCCUUUGGGCGGGGGACAACAUUUGGAAACGAAUGCUAAUACCGCAUAACAACUUUAAACAUAAGUUUUAAGUUUGAAAGAUGCAAUUGCAUCACUCAAAGAUGAUCCCGCGUUGUAUUAGCUAGUUGGUGAGGUAAAGGCUCACCAAGGCGAUGAUACAUAGCCGACCUGAGAGGGUGAUCGGCCACAUUGGGACUGAGACACGGCCCAAACUCCUACGGGAGGCAGCAGUAGGGAAUCUUCGGCAAUGGACGAAAGUCUGACCGAGCAACGCCGCGGGAGUGAAGAAGGUUUUCGGAUCGUAAAACUCUGUUGGUAGAGAAGAACGUUGGUGAGAGUGGAAAGCUCAUCAAGUGACGGUAACUACCCAGAAAGGGACGGCUAACUACGUG